AGGACGAACGCUGGCGGCGUGCUUAACACAUGCAAGUCGAGCGGAAAGGCCCUUCGGGGUACUCGAGCGGCGAACGGGUGAGUAACACGUGAGUAACCUGCCCCUAGCUCUGGGAUAGCUCCGGGAAACCGGGAUUAAAUACCAGAUACGACCACUUUAGACAUCUGUCGUGGUGGAAAGGAUUCCGGCUAGGGAUGGGCUCGCGGCCUAUCAGCUUGUUGGUGGGUAACGCCUACCAAGGCGACGACGGUAG
rnacentral:rRNA from 1 species